UUAAGAUAAGUAUAUUUUGUACAUUCUAUUGUGGUUAGAAAGGGUCUCUUAAU
rnacentral:tRNA from 1 species